GACCUGGUUGCUGCCACAGGCAGGGGUGAGCUCCCGUCACACACUCCAGUUCCUGCCAGUCUGACAGUUAGAAAAGGCCCCUGGAGCUGGACACCAAAGGCUCCUUGGAUUUCUCUGCCAGAUUGUUGGGGGCAAGAACUUAGCAAAAAGAAAGUGGUUAUGCAGCUGGUUACAGAAGAUGGCAGCACCAAGGUAUUUGUGGAUGAUCUUGAAAAAACAAGCAUAGAUGACUCUGGUUAGUGCUUAGAUGGGAGAUUUCCAGAAAACACCACGGCUUGCUGGUUGGAUCAAGAAGUUGAAAAUUCAGAAGAGGUCUGCUGUAGAUUCCUGUAGAUUUUUAGGAAAGAUCCCUAAAGGAAUAUUUAUCAACACAGACCUUAUCUCGCUUGGAAGGCUGCCAGAUGGAUGCAGAAAUGAAAUAGAAAGAGCUUUGGAAUAAAUACCGAGGAAGUGAAACUGAAGUGGAUUAAAAAUAACAGAGGAAGUGUCUUCAUGCAGCAAUGAGGUGGUAACUCAUGCAGCAGUGAAAAGCUUUUAAUUGUAAUAAUAUAUUGACUCAGGGAAAAAA